AGAAGGCCUGAAGUCACGUCAAACGGACUUUGCCUCAAAGGUGAAUGAAAAUGGGAGCCUUAAAGGAAGGUUCAUCAUAUUUUAGAAAAAGAAUCAUGGAUAAUAAUGCGUUAAUAGAAGAAGCCUUUGGCAAGGUUGAACCUCAAAAGUCCUGUUAUACUUCUGAUACAUUUGCAUUGCGACAGUGGAAGGUUAAUUACCAUAACAAUUUCCUCAGCAUAAACCCAAUGUUGACAAAAAAUAAUUUCCUUCACCUAACAUCCAGGCCUGAAGAGAGAUGCAAGACAAACCUUGGGGAUUCUUUGGCUUGCUUUGAUUUCUCUCACACAAAAGAUCCUUGUAAGGUGUUUCCGGU
rnacentral:lncRNA from 1 species